rnacentral:rRNA from 1 species
UAAGUAACCUGCCCCCCACUUUGGGAUAACCCCGGGAAACCGGGGCUAAUACCGAAUACGACCAUCCAGGGCAUCUUGGUUGGUGGAAAGCUCCGGCGGUGGAGGAUGGACUCGCGGCCUAUCAGCUUGUUGGUGAGGUAACGGCCCACCAAGGCGACGACGGGUAGCCGGCCUCAGAGGGUGACCGGCCACACUGGGACUGAGACACGGCCCAGACUCCUACGGGAGGCAG